AUUGAACGCUGGCGGCAGGCCUAACACAUGCAAGUCGAGCGGAUGAGAAGAGCUUGCUCUUCGAUUCAGCGGCGGACGGGUGAGUAAUGCCUAGGAAUCUGCCUGGUAGUGGGGGACCACGUUUCGAAAGGAACGCUAAUACCGCAUACGUCCUACGGGAGAAAGCAGGGGACCUUCGGGCCUUGCGCUAUCAGAUGAGCCUAGGUCGGAUUAGCUAGUUGGUGAGGUAAUGGCUCACCAAGGCGACGAUCCGUAACUGGUCUGAGAGGAUGAUCAGUCACACUGGAACUGAGACACGGUCCAGACUCCUACGGGAGGCAGCAGUGGGGAAUAUUGGACAAUGGGCGAAAGCCUGAUCCAGCCAUGCCGCGUGUGUGAAGAAGGUCUUCGGAUUGUAAAGCACUUUAAGUUGGGAGGAAGGGCAGUAAGUUAAUACCUUGCUGUUUUGACGUUACCGACAGAAUAAGCACCGGCUAACUCUGUGCCAGCAGCCGCCGUAAGAC
rnacentral:rRNA from 1 species